AGGACGAACGCUGGCGGCGUGCUUAACACAUGCAAGCCGAACGAGGAUUAUGUUGGAAGGGCUUCGGCCUGGAAGGCGUAAUUCGAGUGGCGGACGGGUGAGUAACGCGUGAACAAUCUGUCCCGGACAGGGGAAUAACACUUGGAAACAGGUGCUAAUACCGCAUAAGACCACGCCCUCGCAUGGGGGAGGGGUAAAAGGAGGAAUCCGGUUCGGGGUGAGUUCGCGUCCGAUUAGAUAGUUGGUGAGGUAACGGCCCACCAAGUCGACGAUCGGUAGCCGACCUGAGAGGGUGAUCGGCCACAUUGGAACUGAGAGACGGUCCAAACUCCUACGGGAGGCAGCAGUGGGGAAUAUUGGGCAAUGGGCGAAAAAGCCUGACCCAGCAACGCCGCGUGAGUGAAGAAGGCUUUCGGGUUGUAAAGCUCUGUUAUAGGGGACGAAGGAAGUGACGGUACCCUAUAAGGAAGCCCCGGCUAACUACGUGCCAGCCGCAGC
rnacentral:rRNA from 1 species